UGGCGACCGGCGCACGGGUGAGUAACACGUAUCCAACCUGCCGAUGACUCGGGAAUAGCCUUUCGAAAGAAAGAUUAAUACCCGAUGGCAUAGUUCUUCCGCAUGGUAGAACUAUUAAAGAAUUUCGGUCAUCGAUGGGGAUGCGUUCCAUUAGCUUGUUGGCGGGGUAACGGCCCACCAAGGCAUCGAUGGAUAGGGGUUCUGAGAGGAAGGUCCCCCACAUUGGAACUGAGACACGGUCCAAACUCCUACGGGAGGCAGCAG
rnacentral:rRNA from 1 species